AGAGUUUGAUCAUUGCUCAGGAUGAACGCCGGCGGUGUGCCUAAUACAUGCAAGUCGUACGCACUGGCCCAACUGAUUGAUGGUGCUUGCACCUGAUUGACGAUGGAUCACCAGUGAGUGGCGGACGGGUGAGUAACACGUAGGUAACCUGCCCCGGAGCGGGGGAUAACAUUUGGAAACAGAUGCUAAUACCGCAUAACAACAAAAGCCACAUGGCUUUUGUUUGAAAGAUGGCUUUGGCUAUCACUCUGGGAUGGACCUGCGGUGCAUUAGCUAGUUGGUAAGGUAACGGCUUACCAAGGCGAUGAUGCAUAGCCGAGUUGAGAGACUGAUCGGCCACAAUGGAACUGAGACACGGUCCAUACUCCUACGGGAGGCAGCAGUAGGGAAUCUUCCACAAUGGGCGCAAGCCUGAUGGAGCAACACCGCGUGAGUGAAGAAGGGUUUCGGCUCGUAAAGCUCUGUUGUUGGAGAAGAACGUGCGUGAGAGUAACUGUUCACGCAGUGACGGUAUCCAACCAGAAAGUCACGGCUAACUACGUGCCAGCAGCCGCGGUAAUACGUAGGUGGCAAGCGUUAUCCGGAUUUAUUGGGCGUAAAGCGAGCGCAGGCGGUUGCUUAGGUCUGAUGUGAAAGCCUUCGGCUUAACCGAAGAAGUGCAUCGGAAACCGGGCAACUUGAGUGCAGAAGAGGACAGUGGAACUCCAUGUGUAGCGGUGGAAUGCGUAGAUAUAUGGAAGAACACCAGUGGCGAAGGCGGCUGUCUGGUCUGCAACUGACGCUGAGGCUCGAAAGCAUGGGUAGCGAACAGGAUUAGAUACCCUGGUAGUCCAUGCCGUAAACGAUGAGUGCUAGGUGUUGGAGGGUUUCCGCCCUUCAGUGCCGGAGCU
rnacentral:rRNA from 1 species